AUUGAACGCUGGCGGCAUGCCUUACACAUGCAAGUCGAACGGCAGCACGGGAGCAAUCCUGGUGGCGAGUGGCGAACGGGUGAGUAAAGUAUCGGAACGUGCCCAGUCGUGGGGGAUAACGUAGCGAAAGUUACGCUAAUACCGCAUACGAUCUAUGGAUGAAAGCGGGGGAUCGCAAGACCUCGCGCGAUUGGAGCGGCCGAUAUCAGAUUAGGUAGUUGGUGGGGUAAAGGCCCACCAAGCCGACGAUCUGUAGCUGGUCUGAGAGGACGACCAGCCACACUGGGACUGAGACACGGCCCAGACUCCUACGGGAGGCAGCAGUGGGGAAUUUUGGACAAUGGGCGAAGGCCUGAUCCAGCCAUGCCGCGUGCAGGAUGAAGGCCUUCGGGUUGUAAACUGCUUUUGUACGGAACGAAAAGGACUGCCCUAAUACGGUGGUCCCAUGACGGUACCGUAAGAAUAAGCACCGGCUAACUACGUGCCAGCAGCCGCGGUAAAAC
rnacentral:rRNA from 1 species